rnacentral:rRNA from 1 species
AACGAACGCUGGCGGCAGGCUUAACACAUGCAAGUCGAACGCCCGUAGCAAUACGGGAGUGGCAGACGGGUGAGUAACGCGUGGGAAUCUUCACAAAGGUACGGAACAACUCAGGGAAACUUGAGCUAAUACCGUAUGUGCCCGAGAGGGCAAAGAUUUAUCGCCUUUGGAUGAGCCCGCGUUGGAUUAGCUAGUUGGUGGGGUAACGGCCUACCAAGGCGACGAUCCAUAGCUGAUCUGAGAGGAUGAUCAGCCACACUGGGACUGAGACACGGCCCAGACUCCUACGGGAGGCAGCAGUGGGGAAUCUUGGACAAUGGGCGAAAGCCUGAUCCAGCCAUGCCGCGUGAGUGAAGAAGGCCUUAGGGUUGUAAAGCUCUUUUGCCCGGGAAGAUAAUGACGGUACCGGGAGAAUAAGCCCCGGCAAACUUCGUGCCAGCAGCCGCGGUAAUACGAAGGGGGCUAGCGUUGUUCGGAUUUACUGGGCGUAAAGCGCACGUAGGCGGAGUUU